GCAAUAUGGAAAGAAGUGAACUCAUGGAGUGCAGAUGGCUUUGCUACGGUACUCCCUCUGUCUAUUCAUGAUUUAUUUUGGCAAAAUACAAGCAUGGGUUCAACUAGAUCAAAUAAUGUUUGGUGGCUGACUAUUUGGUGUUCGGUGUUUUUUUGUGUGUGGAGGAAAAGGAAUGCCAUCAUGCAUCUUUAAACAAGAACAGUUUGAUUGAUGAUAUUAUCUUCACGGUGUGGUCAUGACUCACUCAACAUGUUUCCUCGUUCAAGUUCUCUUAUGUACAAUGGACGAGCAACAUUAGCACAUGCCUAAAUGGGCCAUCAACUUAAUUCCCUGGCUUGUAGGAAUGAUCACGUGGGAUUCAUAUUUGUUUCUGCUAAGUUAAUUAGCUAUGCAUGAUUUUUGCAGCAAGUAUGGUUUACUCCUUAGGUGUAGGCAUUUGGCUGGUAUGUAUUGUUUUACUGUUCCUGUUUGUAACUUACUCCAGCUGAUGGAUCUGAUUUGUGGGUUUAUCUAGUAUUUAUAGCGGGUUGUUAUAAAUACUCUAUAACCCUUGCUGUUAUCAGAUCUUGCACUGUUCUCUUGUAUUCAUUCGGGUAUUAAUAUAUUUUCUUUGCCGAUGAAAAAAA
rnacentral:lncRNA from 1 species